rnacentral:rRNA from 1 species
AUGGGGAGAACAAAUUCUGAAAGAUGUCAUGUCCGAGGUCAAUACAUUCCAAAAGAAGAAGAAAAAAGCACUAUUAGAUGGUGUCUUCAAAAAAAUAUGGGUUGGCAGCUGCCUACCUUUGCUCGCGAAUCAUCUUUGUCGACGCAUCGAAUAAAUUACUCACUUCCGAGAAUAUCCCAUGUAACAGAUGACGACUUCGAUUUUGUCAUGCUACAUGACAAAAGUAGACUGAGCCUCAUCCCACAUAUUUAUGGCGCACGACCGUUUCGUGCACUUGACACCACCCCAUAUGCCAUCCAAGCGCCAAACUACAAGGACCAACCUGACCAACAGCCAUAUAUUCAGCAAACAGAAACUGAUUCUACCGAACAUCCAGCCGGGGACAUGCAUCACCAGGUCCCUACAUUACCUAUCAAGCAAACUGAGGAACCACCAGCGUUCAUACUGCCAAUUUUGCAAAGGCAUAGUGCAAAAUGGGAAGAAGAUAUUUCAAAAGCCACAUCACGACUUACUAAACUGCAUGCUAAGCGCAUGAACAAGUUUGCACAAGAUGUCAUUGCUGCCACAAAAAACCAUACCCCGAUACCACCUACUUAUUCUUCGCCUCCUAGGGAUGUCCAAGACUCGUCUACAGAAAAAGCUCAAAAUAAUGGCACAAAAGCCACACCCGACACCAGGUUUUGGCAGGAAGCAACUGCAUACGCCGAUGAGGUGGAUAAAAGUGUCGAAAAAACACCUCAGAAUAACCAGGAUGAUGCUUCUAUAUCCGCUCGUGUUACGAACCAAUCCAGCGGAGAAUUAGAUACAAGGCAUAGGAUCCUUACUUCAUACGAAGAUCCAAGUUUCAGUUUCCUACCCCCUGGUCAGACUUGGACCCAACUAUGGUCCGAACCAGCUCCGUCAUCACUUCAACCACAAGAUGUCGAUGUUGCUACAACAGUUGCACAAUCCUCAACUCUAGGGGCAACAACCAUGUCAACAGUGGGCGCAAACUUGGCACACAUCGGUCACGAAAUAUCCCAUGUACAAUUGCCACCUACUACAGCCCCAACACAGCUAAACCAGGAAAAUGGAACCGAAGCACCAAUCAGCAACCGUAUUGUGACCGAGGUACAUGAAGGCACCGCUAGGGAUGUCCCUGAAACGAUUGGCACCCAAACUCAGGAAAAAAAGAAUAGGAAGAAGCGAGCUUGUCUUCGAAUAAAAGAGGACACAAAGCUCAAGAAGCUCAAGGUUAACAGUUCCUCUAUUGAUCUGUACAACAAGUACAUUACUACCAGAUGUGUGCGAUCUCCGACAAAAAAAGAGUGA